ACUAAGACACAGAGAAGUAAACUAAUGUGUACAAAGUCAGACAUAAGGGAGAAACACAAUCAGAAACAAAGCAUCAGACUCCAGAGCUGCAUGCUUCUCCACUGCCAUGUCCUGCCUCCUGUAAAGAAUGACUAAUGAUAGAGGUACUGCAUCCUAAAGUGACCUAGGUCUCAAGGACAGCAUAUUUGUCAACAAAAUGAAGAGAUGAGAAUUAUCUAAAUAAACGAAAGGCAAAAUAAAAGGUCCACACCCUCUGCCAAGUUGCCUACGUGUGAAUGAAUGGGAAAUAUAUUUCCAGGCUCGGGUAAUGAAUAACCUCUGAGGGACUGCACUUUUCUCCAUUCCCACGGAUUGUAUCUACCAAGCAGUGCACUUGCUCUGAAAGGAAGAAUUUGCCCCGGUUUGGAAGGAAGUGGAAUAAAUAGAACUGGAAGUCGCAAGGUCACCUUUAAUAUCAUAUGAACUACCUCCUAACAAGCUUCACAAUUGCUUUGUUUCUUCCUCGCCAAGUGCUAUAAACAGGCAAAGUCAAAGCAAACUGUUGGAGUACACACAGUGCUUGGAGGAAGCUCCCAGAGCUGUGAGGAUGAGGCUGCAGGCCUAAUGGGGACCAUCAGGCACACCAGGGUUAUGAUUGUAUUAUGGUGCGGUGGCCAGAAGGGAGUACUGCUUGUUUUUAAAGCAAGGAAUUAUAUUGUCUUAAAUUCCUGUGUAUAAAAUAUAGGGCAAACAAGUUACAGUUGGAAGUUGGAAUAUUUAGUUGCAGUAGGUACAGUAUAUGGAAUAUUUGCUUUUCACUUGGUUUUUCCUUAAUAAUUUUAAAUAUUGUAUUAUCAUAUGAUCACAUAAAUACAGAAAUGCUGUUUUCAAAGCCUUUCACCCUAGGACCCUGUUCAGUUGGUAUUUAAAACACAAUGCCAUGGAACUUUGAAUAGGAAGUGAGAUACGAUAGGUUAGUAUAGGCUGGAGUGAAAUAGUGACACAACCCAGAGUAAUUUGGGCAGAUAAUAAAAAAUAUAUUUACAGCCUCCCCCUCCCC